UCUCUCCUCCUCCUCCUCCUCCUCCUCCUGCGCGCUGCUCCCCCUGUUAGGAGAGAAUAAACGCGCCUGGCAGCUUCCUGUGUUCCAUCUGACGCCGGAGCGAGGCGUUCAAGUUCAGCGGCUGGCCUCAGACACACCGAGGAGGGAUGAAAAAGAAAAGGAGAGAAAGAGAGAGAGAGGAUGGUGGGCCAGCGUUGGAGCGCGUGUGUUAUUAAUAACCAGCCAGGCAGGCAGGCGCUGAGGCUGACCGAGCCGGACUMCCCCCCAUUUUUUUUUUCUUCCUUCCUCCUUUCCUUUCUGUGAUGCGCAGAGAGGCUGAGCUGAGCGUGUGAGGGGGCUGGUGAGAACUACUUUUUCUUCCGCCUGGAUGCUGCAUAAGUGCAGCAGCACAUGCUCACCAGUCGAGGCAGAUGGUGGCCUGUACUGAGCCUGGUUCU